CAACAAUCGACACAGUCAAUCAAAAAUUUUAGAGCCAAGAAAGACAUUGCAGCAACGACAAUUAAAAAAUCGUAGCAAACUCCUCAAUUCUGGAACAUCCCUGCUUUGCCAACCCAUAAGCUAUGGCAUUACCUUCACGUAAGGUAUAUUGAAACAUUACGAGGGGAAGCUACAAACGACAUUCAUCAAUUAUGUUGAAGUAGAAAAGGAAAUGCCUCGGUGUGAUGGAAGUUUUCUCGACCCAAGCCAGCGUUAUCUUUGAAUCUGAUUCCAGGACUAGACUUUCACAUGAUCUCCCUUGUAAGGAUAG
rnacentral:misc_RNA from 1 species